rnacentral:rRNA from 1 species
AAUUUUGCGCAAUGGGCGAAAGCCUGACGCAGCAACGCCGCGUGAAUGUUAAGCCCCUCGGGGUGUAAAGUUCUGUCAGUGGGGACGAAACUUGACGGUACCCACAGAGGAAGCACCGGCUAACUCCGUGCCAGCAGCCGCGGUAAUACGGAGGGUGCAAGCGUUGUCCGGAAUCAUUGGGCGUAAAGAGUUUGUAGGUGGCAUGUUAAGUCUGGUGUUAAAUCCCGAAGCUCAACUUCGGUCCGGCACUGGAUACUGGCAAGCUAGAAUGCGGUAGAGGUAAGGGGAAUUCCUGGUGUAGCGGUGAAAUGCGUAGAUAUCAGGAGGAACAUCGGCGGCGAAAGCGCCUUACCGGGCCGUAAUUGACACUGAGAAACGAAAGCCGGGGUAGCAAAUGGG